AACGAACGCUGGCGGCAUGCCUAACACAUGCAAGUCGAACGAAGCCUUCGGGCUUAGUGGCGCACGGGUGCGUAACACGUGGGAAUCUGCCCUUUGGUUCGGAAUAACAGUUGGAAACGACUGCUAAUACCGGAUGAUGACGAAAGUCCAAAGAUUUAUCGCCAGAGGAUGAGCCCGCGUAGGAUUAGCUUGUUGGUGUGGUAAAGGCGCACCAAGGCGAAGAUCCUUAGCUGGUCUGAGAGGAUGAUCAGCCACACUGGGACUGAGACACGGCCCAGACUCCUACGGGAGGCAGCAGUGGGGAAUAUUGGACAAUGGGCGAAAGCCUGAUCCAGCAAUGCCGCGUGAGUGAUGAAGGCCCUAGGGUUGUAAAGCUCUUUUACCCGGGAUGAUAAUGACAGUACCGGGAGAAUAAGCCCCGGCUAACUCCGUGCCAGCAGCCGCCGUAA
rnacentral:rRNA from 1 species